AAGAGAGGCCGGACGGCAAUAAAAACUGCUAAUUAUUAUACCUUAGGUUUGACUCCUAAGCUCACUUA
rnacentral:tRNA from 1 species